CUUACAUACAGUACAACAUUGGCAAAGAAUUAUUGCUAAAACUAGUAAUGACAAGAAGAAUAAAUAUGCAAUAUAACACUUUAUUUGAAGCCUUUUUUGUAUAAAGCAUUAUAAAAGGAUUCAUAAUGUUUAUUAUAAUGUAUUAUGUGUUUUCAUAAAUAAUUGUAACCAAAGUUAAAAUGCAUUGUAAUGUUUGCAGAUUCCUUGUUACAUCUGAAUUGGUUGUUUAUCAUGCAUUUUAAUGAAUUACAUUAAUAAAGGCGUAACAAUGAAUAGAUAAAUAUUCUAAUGUAAUAUAACUGGGGUUACAGUUACUCAUGAGAUCAUAUAACGAGUGCAUUAUGAUGUUUAAUACAUUAAAAUAAUUGUAUAAUAUUUUUGUAUAUUUGGUUUACAUUUUUUUAUAUAUAAUGUAUUAAAAUAAGAAUAUAACAUAGAAUAUAUUAAAAUAAGAUGCUGAGUAAUGAUUAAAAUUUAGAGAAAAAAACAUAUAUAACAAAAUAGUUAUAUAUAAAAAAUUAUGAAGAAAAAAAAAACAGAAAAAAAAGCCACACAUGGAUAGUUUUGAUGACAUUGAUUAGUAGUUGGAUUCUGAAAGAUGAAUUUUGCUGUAAUUGCUGGGUGAUUGUUCUCCUGCAGUAACAUCUUCAUUUGAUCCGUUCUCUCUCUCAAUUCUUUUCUCUGUCUCUCGGUCAGGUCGAGGCGGCAGAGUUUCUGACUGUGUCCCAGCUGGCUGAGCUUUGCUCCGACCCGUCACGUCUCAGCGGACCAGCGGAUGUUCAGACUGUGAUGAAUGAGCUUCAAACGCAGACACUUUCCGAGUUUUUUGAUGUUCUUUCUCCAAACAUCCAACUGAAUGAACUGGGCUACUCUGCGGAGGUGAAGCGGGCCUUCCUGCAGACAGUGUUUGUGCGAGGCGAUCUGUCAUCUCCUUCAGUCAGUGAUGCUGAGCUGUCAGUCUGGCUCACGGUUCGACUCAGGCCGCUGCUGUCCACUUUGAGCUCAGCAGAAGUUACGGUGUAUUUUGACAUCGUCAGGGCUCGAGGCUGCAGUGUCAAACAGGAGGCGUAAGAGACGUGUUUUUGUUCAGCUGUAGUGAGAAAAUAUUGAUGCGGUUUUCAGAUUAUUCACUCACUCAUUAAAAUCAAAGUCAAUUUAUAGCCGUUUUUUGUGCAUUGCAUGGCAACAGUAAACAUGGACAAUAAACACAGACAGUAGCAUAUAUGCAGAGUAAAACAAUGUGUGUGUGUUUGUGACACAGCGUCAGCGUGCUGGACUCUCAAAGAACGGCUCUGGAUGAAAACACACAACGUCAGAUCUAUAACAACAUCCAACAGAUACUCACAGGUGUGACACACACACACACAUCCAGGUGUUUCUUCAGCUGUGGGCACAGCCAGGGUCGCUAAUAGAGGGUCUUAUAAAACACAAUUUUACAUGCUUACAUGAUUAUUUUUCUUAAAGUCACAAACAUUCUCAACGCAGCUUUAUUCCCGUCACAUCUAAAAUAAUCAGUGUUUCAUUAACACUCUGUGGUGGAAAUAACAUUUAAAUUAUUUGGAAUAAAAUGGCGGACAUCUUUGUUUUUGCUCAUUUCACAGCAUUCAUUUUUUGCAUCGUAAAUACAAUUAAAUAAAAAUUUAGAUAAUGACUUAAUAAUAAUACAGCAUGACCUGAUCACAUGCAUACCGGAAAGCGUAUGCCAAAUGCAUAUAUGUAAAUGUACUUUCAUUUUCUAGUACAUGAAUAUAUAAUGUUGGUAACACUUUACAAUAAGAUUCCAUUAGUUAAUGCUUUAACUAAUAUUAACUUGCCAUAAGCAAUACAUUUGUUACAGUCACGGUUAAUAAAACUCUUCAUUGUUAGUUCAUGUCAGCUCAGGUCCAUUAAAUGAUAUUAACAGAUAAAAUGAUUUAAAUAAUGUAUUAGUACAUAUUGUUUUUAAUUGCGUGAUUUUGAUAAUGUAUUAGUAAAUGUUGAAAUUAACAAACUACAGUUAGUAAAUGUUUUAGAUGUAUUUUUUCAUUGUUAGUUUAUGUUGACUAAUGUAGUGAACUAAUAUUAACAAACGGAAUCUUAUUUUAAAGUGCUGCCAUAAUGCCUGAGAUUUAGCAUAUAGCGUGUCCUUCACUGACACUAUUGGCAAACAAGUAAACAACAUUAGAGAAUUUUAUUAGGGGUAAAAUGUGUGCUUUUGUUUUAAAGAACAGUACAACUUAGGCAUAACCAGAGUUGUUCAAUAUUGUUUUUAUAUAAAAUGGCUGGUUUGUUUGUUUGUCUAUUUUUUUUCCCGCAGAUGCUCCUCUUCGCUGUUAUGUCAGUGGAAGUUUCUACCUCUUCCUCAAGUCUUUCUUCCUCCAGUUUGGAUUUCCAGACCUCAACACUUUCCAGUCUCUGAUCCCCAUGGACAGGAAGCCUGAGGUACAUCAGCACUCCUCUAUUGCUCGACCUCUUUCCAUCGCAGCCCUUCUCAUCUGAGCAUUUUCUCCCGCAGCUGCUGAGCUCCAUCUCUACAGCCGAGCUGAGCGAGUUCCUGAACGCGCCUCAGACGCUCGGAGAUGGGUCGGGACUCUGCCAUCUGCUCAGUCAGUACAACCAGACCACACGCUAUCUGGAGACGGUAGGUUUAGAGGACAGUCUUCAGACUCUUCUGCAGCUGUGAGCGUAAAGGCUGGAAAACACUACUUGGCUUAAAAUCUGAACAUAUGAAAACACUAGACAUCAUACACUUUCAGAUGGUUACAGAGGAAAAGCUGGUCAUCACACACUACAUGACACAACAAACAGGUUGCAUGAAAAAAUGUGUUUUAAAUUGUCUGAAAAUAUCAAAUGUAUUUGACGUCCUCUGACUGAAUGGGAUCAGAGUCCGAAGCUAGAAUCCAUCAUACACUGCACUUUCUCUGUGAAAUCUGGUAACUUGAACCUGCAGACUGGCUCUGACUUUCUGCAGCUACACAAAAGUCUGGGAAGAAGCCUUAUGGUGUAUUCCAGCCUUUAGUCAGAUCCUAUUUCUGCUUCACAGUGCGAUGUCGCCAUUUGGGG
rnacentral:lncRNA from 1 species